CGGGACGGGUGAGUAACGCGUGGGUAACCUGCCUCAUACAGGGGGAUAACAGUUAGAAAUGACUGCUAAUGCCGCAUAAGACCACAGUACUGCAUGGUACAGUGGUAAAAACUCCGGUGGUAUGAGAUGGACCCGCGUCUGAUUAGGUAGUUGGUGAGGUAACGGCCCACCAAGCCGACGAUCAGUAGCCGACCUGAGAGGGUGACCGGCCACAUUGGGACUGAGACACGGCCCAG
rnacentral:rRNA from 1 species